rnacentral:rRNA from 1 species
CCUACGGGAGGCAGCAGUAGGGAAUAUUGGGCAAUGGAGGCAACUCUGACCCAGCCAUGCCGCGUGCAGGAAGACGGUCCUCUGGAUUGUAAACUGCUUUUGAAUGGGAAGAAUGUGCUCCUUGCGAGGGGUAAUGACGGUACCAUUAGAAUAAGCCACGGCUAACUACGUGCCAGCAGCCGCGGUAAUACGUAGGUGGCGAGCGUUAUCCGGAUUUAUUGGGUUUAAAGGGUGCGUAGGCGGCUUAAUAAGUCGGUGGUUAAAAGUAGCAGCUUAACUGUUUUACAUGCCAUCGAUACUGUUGAGCUUGAGAUAUUUGGAGGCAGCUAGAAUUUCCGGUGUAGCGGUGAAAUGCAUAGAUACCGGAAGGAAUACCAAUUGCGAAGGCAGGUUGCUACGAAUAAACUGACGCUGAUGCACGAAAGCGUGGGGAUCAAACAGGAUUAGAUACCCUGGUAGUCCACGCCGUAAACGAUGAUUACUAGUUGUUGGGGUUUAAGCCUCAGUGACCAAGGGAAACCGAUAAGUAAUCCACCUGGGGAGUACGCCGGCAACGGUGAAACUCAAAGGAAUUGACGGCUGAGAGNGCGAGACGACGACGAGGGAGAGG